AAGAUCUUUUACUUUGUAUGGCUUAAUCUUGGUUUAAUGACAACUGUUGUUCAGAACUAAAUGCAGAAAAAGAACGGAAUGGAACCAAAUCAGAAUAGUUGCCAUAAUUUUAAUAUAUUUAAAG
rnacentral:lncRNA from 1 species